CUUCACCGAGCCCACUCUCCAACCCUUUGUGUACCUACCUCUGUUGCUUUGGCGGGCCGCGGUUCUCCGCGGCCGGCCCCCUGAUCGGGGCUGGCCCGCGCCCGCCAGAGGACCACAAAACUCCAGUCAGUGAACUUUGCUGUCUGAUAUAAAUUCAAUAAACUAAAACUUUCAACAACGGAUCUCUUGGUUCUGGCAUCGAUGAAGAACGCAGCGAAAUGCGAUAAGUAAUGUGAAUUGCAGAAUUCAGUGAAUCAUCGAAUCUUUGAACGCACAUUGCGCCCUUUGGUAUUCCGAAGGGCAUGCCUGUUCGAGCGUCAUUACACCCCUCAAGCUCUGCUUGGUGUUGGGCAGCGUCCUCUCGGACGCGCCUCAAAGACCUCGGCGGUGGCGUCUUGCCUCAAGCGUAGUAGAAAACACCUCGCUUUGGAGGACGGGACGACCGCUCGCCGGACGAACCUUUGAAUUCAUUUUCCUAGGUUGACCUCGGAUCAGGUAGGGAUACCCGCUGAACUUAAGCAUAUCAAUAAGCGGAGGAAA
rnacentral:rRNA from 1 species